AUGAUGGACACAGUGUCCCCUGAGUGCCCUCUGUCUCGGACCAACUCCAUGAUGCUGAGAUCAGCGCCCCCCCCACGCCGCCUCUGUGCGGUCAAUCCAUGUGCACGAUGGGAUGGGAGCCCCAGCCUGCUUUAUCUCCCCCCAUGUGACCUUUCCAGAGAAAGUCUGCAGGCCUUGAUGAGUCGACCUGUCAGUGAAACACUGACUCCUGAUCAGUGCGGUUGUGAAAUGAACAUACAGCCAUCAUCUGAUAAGAGGAGCUGCGGAUUGAGUGAUAGCUGA
rnacentral:lncRNA from 1 species